CACGGAGUUAGCCGGUGCUUCUUCUGCGAGUAACGUCACAGCCAGCAGAUAUUAGCUACUGACCUUUCCUCCUCGCUGAAAGUGCUUUACAACCCGAAGGCCUUCUUCACACACGCGGCAUGGCUGCAUCAGGGUUUCCCCCAUUGUGCAAUAUUCCCCACUGCUGCCUCCCGUAGGAGUCUGGACCGUGUCUCAGUUCCAGUGUGGCUGAUCAUCCUCUCAGACCAGCUAGGGAUCGUCGCCUUGGUGAGCCAUUACCUCACCAACUAGCUAAUCCCACCUGGGCAUAUCCAAUCGCGCAAGGCCCGAAGGUCCCCUGCUUUCCCCCGUAGGGCCGUAUGCGGUAUUAGCAGUCGUUUCCAACUGUUAUCCCCCUCGACUGGGCAAUUUCCCAGGCAUUACUCACCCGUCCGCCGCUCGCCGGCAAAAGUAGCAAGCUACUUCCGCUGCCGCUCGACUUGCAUGUGUUAGGCCUGCCGCA
rnacentral:rRNA from 1 species